rnacentral:rRNA from 1 species
UACGGGGGGGGUAAGCGUUGUUCGGAAUUACUGGGCGUAAAGGGCUCGUAGGCGGCCAACUAAGUCAUACGUGAAAUCCCUCAGCUUAACUGGGGAACUGCGUGUGAUACUGGAUGGCUUGGAUUUGGGAGAGGGAUGCGGAAUUCCAGGUGUAGCGGGUGAAAUGCGUAGAUAUCUGGAGGAACACCGGUGGCGAAGGCGGCAUCCUGGACCAAUAUUGACGCUGAGGAGCGAAAGCCAGGGGAGCAAAACGGG